UACGUAGGGGCUAGCGUUAUCCGGAAUUACUGGGCGUAAAGGGUGCGCAGGUUGUUUGAUAAGUCAGUGGUGAAAGUCUGUCGCUUAACGGUAGGAUUGCCAUUGAUACUGUUGGACUUGAAUAUGGAUGAGGUAGGCGGAAUGUGUAGUGUAGCGGUGAAAUGCAUAGAUAUUACACAGAACACCGAUUGCGAAGGCAGCUUACUAAUCCAUCAUUGACGCUGGGGCACGAAAGCGUGGGGAUCAAACAGGAUUAGA
rnacentral:rRNA from 1 species